rnacentral:rRNA from 1 species
GGGGGCCCGCACAAGCGGUGGAGCAUGUGGUUUAAUUCGAUGCAACGCGAAGAACCUUACCUACUCUUGACAUCCAGAGAACUUUCCAGAGAUGGAUUGGUGCCUUCGGGAACUCUGAGACAGGUGCUGCAUGGCUGUCGUCAGCUCGUGUUGCGAAAUGUUGGGUUAAGUCCCGCAACGAGCGCAACCCUUAUCCUUUGUUGCCAGCGGUUCGGCCGGGAACUCAAAGGAGACUGCCAGUGAUAAACUGGAGGAAGGUGGGGAUGACGUCAAGUCAUCAUGGCCCUUACGAGUAGGGCUACACACGUGCUACAAUGGCCGGUACAGAGCGUCGCCAACCCGCGAGGGUGCGCUAAUCGCCAAAAGCCGGUCUAAGUUCGGAUUGUAGUCUGCAACUCGACUGCAUGAAGCCGGAAUCGCUAGUAAUCGCGGAUCAGCACGCCGCGGUGAAUACGUUCCCGGGCCUUGUACACACCGCCCGUCACGCCAUGGAAGCUGGGGGGACCUGAAGUCGGUGGGCUAACCGCAAGGAGGCAGCCGCCAAAGGUCAAUUCAGUGACUGGGGC